rnacentral:SRP_RNA from 1 species
CCGUACUCCAUGGGGACUUAGCGAAUCUCUUGACUCGAACGCUUAGCGAGGUGCAGAGCCUACUGUGAGGGGUAAUUGAAAAUUAAAUAAAAAUUAUAAAAGUGUUGAUAUUUAAAUAUAUUGUGGCGAAAGCUGUUGAACCGUGUCAGGAUGGAAACAUAGCAGCACUAAGGCAUAACUUUCGGGUGCUUUAUCUUUUAAAAGUAGCUUUUAUUUUUUGAGUUUAGUUUUGAAUUAUUUCGAUAGGUAGUGGUACGG